GACACGCUCCUUAGAUCCACCUCUAGGGGGCGCUCCAGGUCUGGGGCUGCUGUCUUUGUGCUGCUGUCUCAGCCUGGACGCCCUCAGCAGCUUCCUGGCUGUACAGUUAGAGGUGCUUGAGUCAUUGGCGUGUGAGAACAGUCUACCUGCUCCUCAGCCCCCCCACUGCACUGGCAACCCACCAGGUUAACUGGCAGGAUUCUCCCAGGGCAGACAGGCUGGGGAGCGGACACU